AUUGAACGCUGGCGGCAGGCCUAACACAUGCAAGUCGAGCGGAGCGGCGGACGGGUGAGUAAUGCCUAGGAAUCUGCAUGGUAGUGGGGGAUAACGUCCGGAAACGGGCGCUAAUACCGCAUACUAUCAGAUGAGCCUAGGUCGGAUUAGCUAGUGGGUGGGGUAAAGGCCUACCAAGGCGACGAUCCGUAACUGGUCUGAGAGGGUGAUCCGUCACACUGGAACUGAGACACGGUCCGGACGCCUAAGGGGGGCAGCAGUGGGGAAUAUUGGACAAGGGGCGAAAGCCUGCUACGGCCAUGCCGGGGGUGUGAAGAAGGUCUUAGGAUUGUAAAGCACUUUAAGUUGGAAGGCGUUACCAAAAGAAUAAGCACCGGCUAACUUCGUGCCAGCAGCCGCGGUAAUAC
rnacentral:rRNA from 1 species